ACCGUUUCCGGUGAAGGUGAAAAUUGUUGGGGCCGUUCACUGGCAGCACAUCCUGGAGAUGGGAACCUGAGAAAACUGACAGAAGCUGCCAAAAGUCAAUGUACCUCAUGGAUUGCCUACACCACAGAUGGACUGCUCCUAUGCCUAUCUUUGACUUGCCUCUACCAAUCACUCUCCAUGAGAGAAGAGGUUUUGAAGUCAUGUGCACUGCUGUAUUCUCAUUGUCUACAAAUUUCAGAGUCUUUUUUUAGGUAUUUAUUAAAUUUUUGUUGCAUGAA